CCUACGGGAGGCAGCAGUGGAGAAUCAUUGACAAUGGGGGAAACCCUGAUGGAGCGACGCCGCGUGGGGGAAUGAAGGUCUUCGGAUUGUAAACCCCUGUAAUGUGGGAGAAAAUUAAGAAGAUAGUUGCCCAAGAGGAAGCGACGGACAACUCUGUGCCAGCAGCGGCGGUAAUAAAGAGGUCUCAAGCGUUGUUCGGAAUCACGGGGGGUAAAGGGUGCGUAGGCGGUUUAGUACGUAGGGAGUGAAAGGGGGGGGCUCAACCCGCGGACUGCAUAGGAUACUGCGAGACUAGAGUGAUGGAGAGGGAACUGGAAUUCUCGGUGUAGCAGUGAAAUGCGUAGAUAUCGGGAGGAACACUAGUGGCGAAGGCGGGUUCCUGGACAUUAACUGACGCUGAGGCACGAAGGCCAGGGGAGCGAAAAGGAUUAGAUACCCUAGUAGUC
rnacentral:rRNA from 1 species